ensembl:lncRNA AABR07007088.1
CUGUCCUUCAUUCUUUUGGUCUGUCUUACAAAACAGAAAAUAGCUGGGGACAAAAACCGUCUCACCCUCAGUUCUGUAGCUCCAGGCCACAGAUCUCUCCUCUCCGCGUGUCAAAGGAAGGACGUCCUCUAGUGUAUUCUGCAUCCACGCUGGCGCAGUUUGGGCAUCUACAGCGACAUUACAGCUGAAUGGAGUGAGCUGUAUAGAAAGAGACUCUAGGUGAGGAGCUGUCCUCGCUUCACCCUUUUGACACGGGACCUCUCUGUGGCCCUAGGAUCCAGGAGCCUUUCAUGCAGAAGCUGUUACUAUCUACUGAGUAAACAACCCAGCUGUUUUCCAGCCCGUAAGAAUACUCACCUGGAGAAUUUCAAGGAGCCAAAUGACCACCUGCUGUCACUUCCCAUUUGCUGUUAGACUGUCUCUAAUCUCUUAAAGGUUGCCAGCAGUUCAGUUCAGUAACAUCAGAAUACCAAACACAGACCAGCAACGGUGGCAUAAUCCAGCAGAAACCAUUAGGCCACCACUGAGUCAACAUUAGUCAGCAGGAGUGGCCAGCUGUGAUACCAGGAGAAAUUCUCUGCCAUGCCUCUCUCAAUGAAGUGAAGAUCAGUAAAGACAGGAGACAUUGCAAUGCUAGGUAUGCAAACCCCUGUCACUGUUCCUUGAGUCCUAUUUAUAUUCUCUCCAAACAUCACAUGUCCUCCUGUGCGUCUUGUCUCAGUAAAACACCAUGUGAGUCUGUAUCACAUGACACUACUAGAAACUUCUACUUCGAAGAAAUUUAUAAUUUAAAAUUGUUUACUGUUCUAAGUAGAAAAAUGAAAUUCUGUGUGUCCUUUCUCUUCCCAAACCAGGACAUAAAUAAUCUAUGUGUAAAGCAUGUCAUCACUGUAUGUUAUCUGCCUAGAAAUGAAUAAUCUUUGUGUAAAGUGUGUCAUCACUGUAUGUUAAUUGCCCAGGACAUGAAAAUCUAUGUGUAAAGUGGGUUCUUACUGUACACUAUCUGCCCACUUGUCACUUGGUAGCUUUCUUGGUUAUUU